rfam:Bdellovibrionales bacterium RIFOXYC1_FTLL_37_79 rifoxyc1_full_scaffold_68, whole genome shotgun sequence.
GGGCGUUUAGCUCAGCUGGGAGAGCGCUACCCUUACAAGGUAGAUGUCAGAGGUUCGAUCCCUCUAACGCCCA